rnacentral:rRNA from 1 species
GUAGGUGGCGAGCGUUGUCCGGAAUUAUUGGGCGUAAAGAGCAUGUAGGCCGGCUUAAUAAGUCGAGCGUGAAGAUGGCGGGGCUCAACCCCGUAUGGCGCUGGAAACUGUUAUGCUUGAGUGCAGGAGAGGAAAGGGGAAUUCCCAGUGUAGCGGUGAAAUGCGUAGAUAUUGGGAGGAACACCAGUGGCGAAGGCGCCUUUCUGGACUGUGUCUGACGCUGAGAUGCGAAAGCCAGGGUAGCGAACGGGAUUAGAUACCCCGGUAGUCCUGGCCGUAAACGAUGGGUACUAGGUGUAGGAGGUAUCGACCCCUUCUGUGCCGGAGUUAACGCAAUAAGUACCCCGCCUGGGGAGUACGGCCGCAAGGUUG